rnacentral:tRNA from 1 species
GGCUCGUUGGUCUAGGGGUAUGAUUCUCGCUUAGGGUGCGAGAGGUACCGGGUUCAAUUCCCGAAUGAGCCC